rnacentral:rRNA from 1 species
GAUGAACGCUAGCUACAGGCUUAACACAUGCAAGUCGAGGGGCAGCAUGGUCUUAGCUUGCUAAGGCUGAUGGCGACCGGCGCACGGGUGAGUAACACGUAUCCAACCUGCCGUCUACUCUUGGCCAGCCUUCUGAAAGGAAGAUUAAUCCAGGAUGGCAUCAUGAGUUCACAUGUCCGCAUGAUUAAAGGUAUUUUCCGGUAGACGAUGGGGAUGCGUUCCAUUAGAUAGUAGGCGGGGUAACGGCCCACCUAGUCAACGAUGGAUAGGGGUUCUGAGAGGAAGGUCCCCCACAUUGGAACUGAGACACGGUCCAAACUCCUACGGGAGGCAGCAGUGAGGAAUAUUGGUCAAUGGGCGAUGGCCUGAACCAGCCAAGUAGCGUGAAGGAUGACUGCCCUAUGGGUUGUAAACUUCUUUUAUAAAGGAAUAAAGUCGGGUAUGCAUACCCGUUUGCAUGUACUUUAUGAAUAAGGAUCGGCUAACUCCGUGCCAGCAGCCGCGGUAAUACGGAGGAUCCGAGCGUUAUCCGGAUUUAUUGGGUUUAAAGGGAGCGUAGAUGGAUGUUUAAGUCAGUUGUGAAAGUUUGCGGCUCAACCGUAAAAUUGCAGUUGAUACUGGAUGUCUUGAGUGCAGUUGAGGCAGGCGGAAUUCGUGGUGUAGCGGUGAAAUGCUUAGAUAUCACGAAGAACUCCGAUUGCGAAGGCAGCCUGCUAAGCUGCAACU